rnacentral:rRNA from 1 species
UACGAAGGGGGCUAGCGUUGCUCGGAAUUACUGGGCGUAAAGCGCACGUAGGCGGAUUGUUAAGUCGGGGGUGAAAUCCUGGAGCUCAACUCCAGAACUGCCUUCGAUACUGGCGAUCUUGAGUCCGGGAGAGGUGAGUGGAACUGCGAGUGUAGAGGUGAAAUUCGUAGAUAUUCGCAAGAACACCGGUGGCGAAAGCGGCGCGCUGGAUCUCUUCUGACGCUGAGGCGCGAAAGCCAGGGGAGCGAACGGG